rnacentral:lncRNA from 1 species
AGCACAUAAGGCCAAAAAAUUUAUUUUUAUCCAUUUUCACCACAUUUUCUUUAGUGAACAGAAGGAAGAAGAAGAGAGUAUGACUUUGUACUAAUUAGAAAAACAAAGAUAAAAGUGGACAUUUUGAAAUUGGACAUUUUAUGGGUACCUUUUGUUCUUUUUCUUCUGUUUUUAUCCAACACCGUUUUUCUUGUGACUUGCUUCACCUGCUUGUGUCCUCACCUCGUUUUAUCAGCUGUCUGUAGCUGCUUCUGACCUAUCUCACAGGCAUGGGAUGUGGCAACCACAGGUGUCAGCAGCUCUUCACAGCUGAUAGAGCCAUGCUUUCACUUGAUUUUCCCCCAUUAAAAAGAGAAAAACACAAACACCUGUUUUGACUCAUCUCCCUUCCUUUUCUCCAAUUGCAAAUUAAACUGACAAGCUGGCUGGACAGUGGCAGAGGGGAUUUACUUUUCAGUCAAAUUAUUUUAGUCUCUUUUUUGCCAGUGUAUUCUCUACCUGUCAUUUCCUCCAUGUAAGUUUUUGACAGCUAGAAUUGUUUUUAUUGUACAUUCCAGUCUGUGCUUUUAAUAGCUAAGGUUUUUUUUUUUUUUUCACUUCCUAGAUUUAACUAGCCUAAAAUAACUGUCUGACCUCCAUUUUGAGCUAUGUUGCUAAAGUUACAAAUAUCUACCCUGGAUUUU